CAGAAGUUCAGUUCACUGCUGGGUAACAGAGCUUCCAGUCUUCGGUUUGUGCGGAUAUCUAGUGUGUCUUCUGCUGAUUAGGAAGAGCAUAUCUCUCAAAAUGCAGCGGCAGAGGAGUGUGGCGGCUGUCUUGGCUGUUGCUUGUGUGGUCUUCAGUGUAUGUCCUUCGGCCAGUGGAACGCUUGAUUGGUUCCCUUCCGCGGUGUCUUGGGACUGGUUUGGUUCGGAGGACCUACCUAACAUGACCUUUCCUGAGGUGUGUGGCGUCAGGGUGCCUGGGGUCGAGGCUAGCAACAUGACUCUCCAGGACAUGAAGGAUUAUCCAAAAGCUCCCGAGCUGCCGGUGGGGAUGCCUUUCCCUAGAUGGGACCUCACCACUACUGAUGGAUCCUUCGAACCAGAAUUUCCCUGGCCGUGGGUUGUCCGGAUUGCCGACGAUACUGCCGGGGUUCUUAUUUCCGAGCGGCAUGUUGUCACCUUGGAACAUUGCCUGAGCAACUACACGAGAUGGUUCGGCGGAUUCUACAGCUUCGGUGUUGGCAUCUUGGAUCAGGAUGUCGAGGUGGCCCGAGUUGACGUUCAAAGUUUGUAUGAUAAUCCUCUGCCACUCGCAUUGCUGACCUUGGCGAGCCACAACUUCACGCGUGUCUCCUCUCCCGUGUGUGUCGGUCCCUAUCGUCAUGAACUCAUCGCGGCGGCAGUCGGCUGGGAUAAGACUGGUGAUCUUAAAGAAAAGCCAGUUAGUAUAUAUCGUAAGGGUCAAUGUGCAAGUUACCAUCGUGAAGCUUUCAAAGAUGACCUAAUGCUGUGUGGCUCUGUUGGGGCUCGCCUCUGCGGCGGUCCCCUGAUGCAAGUUUCCCAGGGUCGCUGGAUGUUGGUUGCUCUGGGCUCGGGAGAACCUGCCCCGAUUGCAAGGUACGUCCGCCUCGCCCCAGCCCAGAAGUGGCUUGAAAGUCUGAAUUAACUUCGGACUGCUGCCGAUAUCUCCUCCAGCCAAAUUGGACGACGGAGGUCUUUGGAUAUCCGUGGAACUACGCUUGUCCAGCCUUGGCCAGAGUUUUAGUCUCCGAAUGGAGUGUUUUUAGCUGUUUUAACUGGGUAGAGGUUUACUGUUUCAGGGUGAGUUUUUAGCUGAACUUUGUCACGCAAAUUACUUGCUAUGCAAUAUUAAAGCAUUAAAAUUUUUGAACAUAU